GAGGGUUUAGCUCAGUGGUAGAGCGUGUGCUUAGCAUGCACAAGGUCCUAAGUUCAAUCCCCAGUACCUCCA
rnacentral:tRNA from 1 species